GAUGAAGAACGUAGCGAAAUGCGAUAAGUAGUGUGAAUUGCAGAAUUCAGUGAAUCAUCGAAUCUUUGAACGCACAUUGCGCCCUUUGGUAUUCCUUAGGGCAUGCCUGUUCGAGCGUCAUUUAAACCUUCAAGCUCAGCUUGGUGUUGGGUGACUGUCCGCUUCACCGCGGACUCGCCUCAAAAUUAUUGGCGGCCGGUACAUUGGCUUCGAGCGCAGCAGAAACGCGAACUCGGGCCCGUCGUAUUGGCUCCCAGAAGCUAACUUCACAAUUUUGACCUCGGAUCAGGUAGGGAUACCCGCUGAACUUAAGCAUAUCAAUAAGCGGAGGA
rnacentral:misc_RNA from 1 species